rnacentral:rRNA from 1 species
CUACGUGCCAGCAGCCGCGGUAAUACGUAGGGCGCGAGCGUUGUCCGGAAUUAUUGGGCGUAAAGAGCUCGUAGGCGGCUGGUCGCGUCUGUCGUGAAAUCCUCUGGCUUAACUGGGGGCUUGCGGUGGGUACGGGCCGGCUUGAGUGCGGUAGGGGAGACUGGAACUCCUGGUGUAGCGGUGGAAUGCGCAGAUAUCAGGAAGAACACCGGUGGCGAAGGCGGGUCUYUGGGCCGUUACUGACGCUGAGGAGCGAAAGCGUGGGGAGCGAACAGGAUUAGAUACCCUGCUAGUCCACGCCGUAAACGUUGGGCACUAGGUGUGGGGGGCCUUUUCCGGGUUUUCCGCGCCGUAGCUAACGCAUUAAGCACUCCGCCUGGGGAGUACGACCGCAAGGUUGAAACUCAAAGGAAUUGACGGGGGCCCGCACAAGCGGWGGAGCAUGUGGUUUAAUUCGAAGC